rnacentral:rRNA from 1 species
ACGGGAGGCAGCAGUGAGGAAUAUUGGUCAAUGGAGGCAACUCUGAACCAGCCAUCUCGCGUGAAGGAAUACGGCCCUACGGGUCUUAAACUUCUUUUAUAGGGGGAUAAAGUGAGGCAUGCAUGCCUUUUUGUAGGUACCCUAUGAAUAAGCAUCGGCUAACUCCGUGCCAGCAGCCGCGGUAAUACGGAGGAUGCGAGCGUUAUCCGGAUUUAUUGGGUUUAAAGGGUGCGCAGGCGGCACGUUAAGUCAGCGGUGAAAUGUCGGGGCUCAACCCGGGCACUGCCGUUGAAACUGGCGAGCUUGAGUACGGAUGAAGUCGGCGGAAUGUGAUGUGUAGCGGUGAAAUGCUUAGAUAUGACGAAGAACUCCGAUUGCGAAGGCAGCCUUCUGGGGUGUUACUGACGCUGAGGCUCGAAAGUGCGGGAAUCAAACAGGAUUAGAUACCCUGGUA